rnacentral:rRNA from 1 species
AUUUGUCUGGUUAAUUCCGAUAACGAACGAGACCUUAACCUGCUAACUAGAUUCGAUCAUCUUAUGGUCGUUAUCUUCUUAGAGGGACUAUGUAACAUAAAUACAUGGAAGUUUGAGGCAAUAACAGGUCAGUGAUGCCCUUAUAUGUCCUGGGCUGCACGCGUGCUACACUGAUGUAUACAACAAGUGCCUAGUCAGACAUGGCAUGGCAAUCUCGAAUAUGCAUCGUGAUGGGGAUAGAUCUUUGCAAUUAUAGAUCUUGAACGAGGAAUUCCUAGUAAGUGCAAGUCAUCAUCUUGCAUUGAUUAUGUCCCUGCCCUUUGUACACACCGCCCGUCGCUCCUACCGAUACCGGGUGAUCCGGUGAACCUUUUGGACCUGCAAGGGGAAGAUAAGUAAACCAUAUCACCUAGAGGAAGGAGAAGUCGUAACAAGGUUUCCGUAGGUGAACCUGCRGAAGGAUCA